rnacentral:rRNA from 1 species
UACGGAGGGGGCUAGCGUUGUUCGGAAUUACUGGGCGUAAAGCGCACGUAGGCGGCUUUGUAAGUUAGAGGUGAAAGCCUGGAGCUCAACUCCAGAAUUGCCUUUAAGACUGCAUCGCUUGAACACGGGAGAGGUGAGUGGAAUUCCGAGUGUAGAGGUGAAAGUUCGUAGAUAUUCGGAAGAACACCAGUGGCGAAGGCGGCUCACUGGACCGUUGUUGACGCUGAGGUGACGAAAGGCGUGGGGAGCAAACAGG